rfam:Deltaproteobacteria bacterium RBG_13_65_10 RBG_13_scaffold_2228, whole genome shotgun sequence.
AGCACCUUUUAAGUUCGUCCCGUGAGGCGGACAAAGGGAGUGGCGAUGGGUACCUCGAUGGACCGGGUCGCGGGUGGCGCGCCACACGCGGCAGGAUUUGUGAUGGAGCUGCCCCUUGGGGGGCGACCUUCUCGUUCGAGAAGGUCUUUUUUUG